AAAUCGACGCGUAUCAGAGACCAUGAAAGGCGUGGUUGCUGAUGACAGCAGGACGGUGGCCAUGGAAGUCGGAAUCCGCUAAGGAGUGUGUAACAACUCACCUGCCGAAGCAACUAGCUCUGAAAAUGGAUGGCGCUGGAGCGUCGUGCCUAUACUCGGCCGUCGACGGCAUAGUGGGGCCAGUCGUCGCUCGCGGCGGCCGGUCCCGGCAAGCCUCGACGAGUAGGAUGGCGCGGCGGUGUGCGUCGAAGGGCAGGUCGCGAGACCGCCUGGAGCCGCCGUCGGUGCAGAUCUUGGUGGUAGUAGCAAAUACUCGAGAGGGGCCCUCGGGGGCUGCCGUGGAGAAGGGUUUCUUGUGAACAGCCGUUGUCCAAGAGUCAGUCGAUCCUAAGCCCGGGGAGAGAUCCUCGUACCACGGGCGAAGGCGUUUUCGAAUCGCCCUUGGGGCGAGAGGGAAUCCGGUUCGUAUUCCGGAACCCGACGCGGAACCGCUCCCUAGUGUUCGGGGCUCUUUUGUCUCGUCUGGGUAACCAGAAUGAACUCGAAGAAGCCGCCGGGGGAUCUGGGUAGAGUUCUCUUUUCUCUGUGAGCGUUGUACGUCCCUGGAAUCCUCUAGCCGGGCGAUAGGGACGCGAGCGCGAAGAGCACCGCUCGUUGCGGCGGUGUCCGUGAUCCCCACGCGGACCUUGAAAAUUCGAGAGAGGGCCACGCGGAGUCUUCGCGUCGGUUCGUACCGAUAUCCGCAGCAGGUCUCCGAGGUGAGCAGCCUCUAGCCAGCAUAGAAUAAUGUAGGUAAGGGAAGUCGGCAAAACCGAU
rnacentral:ncRNA from 1 species